rnacentral:tRNA from 1 species
GCUGAGGUGGUGGAAUGGCAUACACGCAGGCCUCAGAAGCCUGUCCUCGAAAGAGCGAUAGGGGUUCAAAUCCCCUCCUCAGCA